GUGCUUCAGUGGCACAUACUAAAACUGGAAUAAUACAGAGAAAACUGGCAUGGCACCUGCACAAGUAACACAUGCAAAUUCGUGAAGCACUCCAUAUUUAA
rnacentral:snRNA from 1 species